CCAUGGGGGGAAAUGUUUAGUCUGAUGAAGAGAACCCCGUGAGUCCAGCAUCUUCUCGAGACCACGGCUUCUGGCCAGAGCUUAUUUAAGAGAGCAGAAGUAAAAAGGACUCAUCCAUCAGCUGAUGAAUGUCUGCCGUUUAACUAAGAGUUCCUGCCCAACUGGCCUGGCUCUCAGCCUGGACCAGCGGUGUCUGGGUGAAGGCAAAGACGGAGGACCUGUCCUGUGGUCACGAGUACCAAAGGCAUUGGAGCUACACCCCCAAGGCCAGGAACCUGCCCCAAGGACCUCUCGGGAAGGAGCUGUGUCCAGAGGGUAGUAUAGCCACAAUUGUGGUGGUGGCGGGGAGGGAACCAGAAGAAUUUUCAGAAGACUCACCCAGUAGAGCAGAGCCAGGAGAAUCAGAAAGAAAUGGUCUCAGGGACCUGAGAACAAUGGGGACCCCUGGAACAAACCAUGCCUGAAGCUGGUAAGACUCUCUUUGA